rnacentral:lncRNA from 1 species
GCAGGGCUCACCCACCCUGCUGGUAUGGAGGUUUGGGGAGACUCUCAAGUCUGCGAAGGUGACCUAAGGAAACUGAGGUCUGGGAACCCAAACGAGGGCUACCAUUGAAGGGCAACAGAGGCAGAGAAGAGUCCAGGCAGCCUUGAGGCGUUAACGGAGACUGACCUGGAGGCCAGGCCAUGUUUGUUAAUGAACCUGAGAAGCUGCUGAAGGAGGCCUGGGAAAGCCCCGACUUGACACCUGUGGCUGCUUCGAGCUCCUGAAGGCCAUUCUCCCCUGGCAGGUGGAUGUCAAGAAACGAAUACAUUCAAAGAAGAAGGGGAAAGAUAUGGUUUGAAUCUGUGUCCCUCCCAGAUCUCCUGUGGAAUUAUA